UAAUACGUAGGGUGCGAGCGUUAAUCGGAAUUACUGGGCGUAAAGCGUGCGCAGGCGGUUUUGUAAGCCAGAUGUGAAAUCCCCGGGCUCAACCUGGGAAUGGCAUUUGGGACUGCAAGGCUGGAGUGUGGCAGAGGGGACUAGAAUUCCUGGUGUAGCAGUGAAAUGCGUAGAUAUCAGGAGGAAUACCGAUGGCGAAGGCAGGUCCCUGGGUUAACACUGACGCUCAUGCACGAAAGCGUGGGGAGCAAACAGGAUUAGAUACCCUGGUAGUCCACGCCCUAAACGAUGUCGACUGGUUGUUGGGGGUUUGACACUCUCAGUAACGAAGCUAACGCGUGAAGUCGACCGCCUGGGGAGUACGGCCGCAAGGUUAAAACUCAAAUGAAUUGACGG
rnacentral:rRNA from 1 species